rnacentral:rRNA from 1 species
AUUGAACGCUGGCGGCAUGCCUUACACAUGCAAGUCGAACGGUAACAGGUCUUCGGAUGCUGACGAGUGGCGAACGGGUGAGUAAUACAUCGGAACGUGCCCGAUCGUGGGGGAUAACGGAGCGAAAGCUUUGCUAAUACCGCAUACGAUCUACGGAUGAAAGCAGGGGACCGCAAGGCCUUGCGCGGACGGAGCGGCCGAUGGCAGAUUAGGUAGUUGGUGGGAUAAAAGCUUACCAAGCCGACGAUCUGUAGCUGGUCUGAGAGGACGACCAGCCACACUGGGACUGAGACACGGCCCAGACUCCUACGGGAGGCAGCAGUGGGGAAUUUUGGACAAUGGGCGAAAGCCUGAUCCAGCCAUGCCGCGUGCAGGAUGAAGGCCUU